CCUAAAAAAACAGCGUGCAUAAGAAAGUGAUUGCAGGCUUUCGCGAGCUUCAGCAAAUGCACUCGAUCACAGAUUGCACGCUUCCCAGCCGAAAUAAAGCCCCACGUGAAAUUUAAAUAAUAACCUGUGAUAUAAGAUUUUGGCCAUACUGCCCAUCUAAAUCAUACAUCCCACACUAUCAACAGGUGCGUCAUGGAGGCUACACUUCUUGU